rnacentral:misc_RNA from 1 species
GUACCCUCAAGCUCUGCUUGGUGUUGGGUGUUUGUUCCGCCUCUGUGUGUGAACUCGCCUUAAAACAAUUGGCAGCCGGCGUACUUGUUUCGGAGCGCAGCACAUUUUUGCGCUUUAGACCAAUGUACAGCGGCAUCCAAGAAGCCUUCUUUAACGC